GAUAGUAGUUUUAGUUUUUGAGAGCUCACAGUUCACAAAAGCGGCUGUCGGCUUGGCUCCUGCCAUCUCCGGUUCAUCUCCUUCCGCCGGCUCAUCGCUCCUCCUCCGCUGGUUUUUCAAUUAUCAGUCGACUGCAAAUGAUUCAGCUCCAGUUGUAGCUAACAUAGCUUUGUCAGGCGCCUAGUUGAAUGAAUCGGGUUCUGGGAUCUAAAUUAAAGAUGCAGAUGGUUGUACAUGGUAUAGGCAGCAUUGAAUUAUAUGAACCCCCUCGAUUGCAUCUUAGCCUAUCAAUCUUGCUGAAAUGAAACUUCAGUUGGAUUGGGGACAUAGAGGUAUUUGAUCCAAUUCUUUCCGCCAUAAAAUCUAGAGUGUUGGAAGCCCUGGGUUGUUCUAUUCUAUCAGUCAAUGAGCAAGGUUGGCGACAAGCUUCAAAGCCUCACUGUUCUUCAUGCCACAAUGUGAGGCAGAGUCAUACGAUAAUCUUGUACAGGCGAAUUGGAGAACAGAGCGUUUGAAUAAUAUUGUGUUGUUUGGAGACAGCUUUAGGACAUAUGAACAGCAUGUAUCAGAGUUUAGGAGCUCAACUCUUGUUGAUUCCUCAAGGCAUAUCUUGGCUGUUAGAAAGUUCACGCGUGAAUUUGCAAUCAAGACAGUUUCAGAUGAUUAUUUUGGAGCCUUCCAUGAUUCAAGCUGGCAUUUCUUGAGCCUUGUUGCUUGAGCAGCUUUGCAGUUCACAAGCAAGACUGAAUGAUGAUUGAAAACAAUCUUAUUUCUAAUUUUUCAUUGCAUUCAAAACAAGUUUACUGUUAUCUUAAUACCUGCAACAACCCGGAUCAAGUAGAUUAGUAAUCGACACUAUUUCAAAGUCUGUAUUAUCACUAAUAUGCUCUUGGAGAUGCCUCCAAUCUAUCUUGAUUUCGCACAUUGUUUCUCAUUCAUAUCUAUCACAUUUAUUUCAGAAACAUUUGGGGAGGUUGGCUUCUAGUCCAACCAAUCUACCUAUGCUGAAAGCAACACACAUUUUAUUCAUUACAUGAAAAUAUAUUUUAGUCUUCUCUUGGAAGCCAUAACAACAGCAGAGGAAAUCAUUUCUUGUUGUUCCCAUUUAGAUCGACCAGUAACUGAUGGCCGAAACAUUAGGGCAUCAGCCAGAUUACUAGGUGGGAGGGGAACCGACGAUAUGGGCAGGAUGUCGACACGUCACGUGACCAUGAUGGGCAUGUGGGGAGCAGCUUGGAGAUAUCCCGCCAUCCAAGUGUACAGUUUUAUCUUCUGCAAGAACCCAAACAAGAAAUAACUUUUGCAGGUCUGCAUAAAGUAGGUACAAUAACCGGAAACCCCAUGACCAUGAUUGAGGAAAAGUACUUACCAUAUGGAGCAACUUGGAUCAAUUCCCGCGAUAGGGUUUCCUGAGAAAGGAAGAGAAGUAAAACUGAAAGAAGAAUGCAAAUGGUGGGAGAAACCUUGUGAAACACCAUCUUGUGAGGUUGUAGAGAAAUUGUUGUGCCUUCCUCGACCUUUAAAUAGACUGAGGGAGAGGAGAAAAAAAUGAGUGUGCUUUGAGUGGGAAAAUGGUUCAGAAGAACACCAGUUGACGGAGGACCAUCUAGGAUUCCACUUUCAAGCAUCCUUGCACCUUCCCAAGUCAAAAAAAAAAACAA